UUCUUCGUAUCCAUAGAUGAUUCUACAAUCCACUGGAGCCAUCUACUCUCUCUCUCUCUCUCUCACGCUUCUUGAAUUUGUUUCCUUUGCUGCUUUGCUUCUGGCUUCAAUUCUUUCAGUUUUUGGUGUGUUAUGGCUUCAGUCUGUGUUGUUGUAAAUAGUAUUCUUGCAUGUGUUCAACCUCCUUCACAUUGGCACCCAAUAUUAGUUACUUUACUGAAAAAACUUCGGCCUCAAGCAAGGAGAAAACAUACUUCCUUAUGAAAGUGAUGUAAAAGAUCAUCAAGAGUAUUGCAAGAAGAGGCGCAAGAAAAGCCUUGGCUUCAACACUGCUCAAAGUUAAUGAAAAAAGAAAAAAAAGUUUUUGCGGGCCUUAUUGAUUGAGACUUCUCAGUAGGAGGUGCUUAGCCAAAUUACUUAAACUCAACACUGUGAACUUGUCAUUUUGUUAUCUCAAUACAAUAUACUCUUAUAUGUAUGUA